GACGUAGGGCGCGAGCGUUGUCCGGAUUUAUUGGGCGUAAAGAGCUCGUAGGCGGCUUGUCGCGUCGACUGUGAAAGCCCCCGGCUCAACCGGGGAGGGUCGUCGGGGACUGGCGGGCUUGAGGUCGGCAGGGGUUGGUGGAAUUCCCGGUGUAGUGGUGAAAUGCGCAGAUAUCAGGAGGAACACCGAUGGCGAAGGCAGGUCUCUGGGCCACUACUGACGCUGAGAAGCGAAAGCAUGGGGAGCGAACAGG
rnacentral:rRNA from 1 species